rnacentral:rRNA from 1 species
UUGCUCCUGGAUUCAGCGGCGGACGGGUGAGUAAUGCCUAGGAAUCUGCCUGGUAGUGGGGGAUAACGUCCGGAAACGGGCGCUAAUACCGCAUACGUCCUGAGGGAGAAAGUGGGGGAUCUUCGGACCUCACGCUAUCAGAUGAGCCUAGGUCGGAUUAGCUAGUUGGUGGGGUAAAGGCCUACCAAGGCGACGAUCCGUAACUGGUCUGAGAGGAUGAUCAGUCACACUGGUACUGAGACACGGUCCAGACUCCUACGGGAGGCAGCAGUGGGGAAUAUUGGACAAUGGGCGAAAGCCUGAUCCAGCCAUGCCGCGUGUGUGAAGAAGGUCUUCGGAUUGUAAAGCACUUUAAGUUGGGAGGAAGGGCAGUAAGUUAAUACCUUGCUGUUUUGACGUUACCAACAGAAUAAGCGCCGGCUAACUUCGUGCCAGCAGCCGCGGUAAUACGAAGGGUGCAAGCGUUAAUCGGAAUUACUGGGCGUAAAGCGCGCGUAGGUGGUUCAGCAAGUUGGAUGUGAAAUCCCCGGGCUCAACCUGGGAACUGCAUCCAAAACUACUGAGCUAGAGUACGGUAGAGGGUGGUGGAAUUUCCUGUGUAGCGGUGAAAUGCGUAGAUAUAGGAAGGAACACCAGUGGCGAAGGCGACCACCUGGACUGAUACUGACACUGAGGUGCGAAAGCGUGGGGAGCAAACAGGAUUAGA